UACGUAGGCAGCAAGCGUUGUUCGGAAUUACUGGGCGUAAAGGGUGCGUAGGCGGCUUUUUAAGUUUGGUGUGAAAUCUCCCGGCUCAACUGGGAGGGUGCGCCGAAUACUGAGAAGCUAGAGUGUGGGAGAGGAAAGUGGAAUUCCUGGUGUAGCGGUGAAAUGCGUAGAUAUCAGGAGGAACACCGGUGGUGUAAACGGCUUUCUGGACCAUAACUGACGCUGAGGCACGAAGGCCAGGGGAGCAAACGGG
rnacentral:rRNA from 1 species